GUAAGGAAUAUUGGUCAAUGGGGGCAACCCUGAACCAGCCAUGCCGCGUGAAGGAUGAAGGCGUUAUGCGUUGUAAACUUCUUUUGUAUGGGAAGAAUGACAGGGAUUUAUCCUUGGAGAGACGGUACCAUACGAAUAAGCACCGGCUAACUCCGUGCCAGCAGCCGCGGUAAUACGGAGGGUGCAAGCGUUAUCCGGAAUCACUGGGUUUAAAGGGUACGUAGGCGGUUAAUUAAGUCAGUAGUGAAAGACUGUCGCUCAACGACGGAUGUGCUAUUGAUACUGGUUAACUUGAAUCAGGUUAGAGUUGGCGGAAUGGGUCAUGUAGCGGUGAAAUGCUUAGAUAUGUUACAGAACACCAAUUGCGAAGGCAGCUUACUAUGCGAUAAUUGACGCUGAGGCACGAAAGCGUGGGGAGCAAACGGGAUUAGAAACCCUAGUAGUCC
rnacentral:rRNA from 1 species